GGAAGAGCUGCCUCUCGUCCCGGAGACAUGGUGGAGAGCGGUCGUGCUUCCUCCUGUGUCCCGGCUGAACCAUGUCCUCUUUUGGAGGAAUCUCCACACAUGCAGACGGGUCCCUUCCCUGAAGAAACGCAAUAAAUCAUUCUUAGAGACAGUUCAAAGGCGGAAGGCGCCCCCCCCGUCACUCUGCUUCACACAGCACCGUAUCUGGCCGUGUCCAGGGGUCAGCAGAACAGCGGCUGAUGCUUCAGGUUACAAGAUGUGGUGCCUGGAGAUGCACCUGAUGUUAUCAUGUGUCCUGUGUUAAACAGGAGUUGCCAAAUGAGGUGACAGGAUGAACCUGGUGUCAUCCCUUGGGUCCUGUGCUGAUGUGUUUCCCCUGAUUACAUGAGGUGACAGGAUGAACCUGGUGUCAUCCCUUGGGUCCUGUGCUGAUGCGGUGAGUUCCUUACUACACUACGUCCUUUUUAAUGCUCCUGGAGCAUGUUAAAUUUAAAAUAUUUUGUUUGUAGAAUUGGAAACGAUAUCUCAAUAAAUCCAAACUGGUUAAAUAUCUUAAAACUCUGAUAACUAGUUUCAGUUUAACUUGCUCAAUAGCAGAUAAAUCCAAAAUGGCACAAGUCUAUUAUCUUUCUGGACUGAGCCAUGGCAACUUUUGCAGCUGGAAUAGUGAUGAGUUUACAACUUUGCCGUUUACCCGUCAGACAACACAGUGGUGAGAUUGUGACGACUGAAUUACCAGCUGCAACCUUAUAGUCACCCUGCUUAAUCCAAACCCUAUGGUGCGAUAGUUGGUCAUUCCUGUUUUUGUUUUCCCUUCAGUUUUCCCUGAUUACAUGAGGUGACAGGAUGAACCUGGUGUCAUCCCUUGUGUCCUGUGCUGAUGCGUUGCAUCUGAUUACAUGAGGUGACAGGAUGAACCUGGUGUCAUCCCUUGGGUCCUGUGCUGAUGCGGUGCUUCGGAUCAUAUGAUAUGGUGGCUGGAGAUGCACCUGAAGUAUAAUCCUGUGCUGAUCAGGAGAUAAGCAGCUGCUGUAAUGGAGUCAAAGUCUCUGAGAACUAGCGUUAUCUCAUCCCUGGGUUACGGAGCCAGUUGACUGAUCACAUGUUUAUAGGAAAACCUAAUUUCAAACUGUACCUGGAACUGAUGGAUCACCAUUUGGCAGAGAUUAUUAAAUAUUUUUCUGAAUAAAACUUGUUAGCAAAAAGUG